rnacentral:rRNA from 1 species
CCUACGGGUGGCAGCAGUGAGGAAUAUUGGUCAAUGGGCGAGAGGCUGAACCAGCCAAGUCGCGUGAGGGAAGACGGCCCCACGGGUGGUAAACCUCUUUUGUCGGGGAGCAAAGCGAGUCACGAGUGACUCAAUGAGAGUACCCGAAGAAAAAGCAUCGGCUAACUCCGUGCCAGCAGCCGCGGUAAUACGGAGGAUGCGAGCGUUAUCCGGAUUUAUUGGGUUUAAAGGGUGGGCAGGCGGCGGUGCAAGUCAGCGGUAAAAUUGCGGGGCUCAACCCCGUACUGCCGUUGAAACUGGAUGCCUUGAGUGGGCGAGAAGUAUGCGGAAUGCGUGGUGUAGCGGUGAAAUGCAUAGAUAUCACGCAGAACUCCGAUUGCGAAGGCAGCGUACCGGCGCGAAACUGACGCUGAUGCACGAAAGCGUGGGUAUCGAACAGGAUUAGAUACCCUUGUAGUC